AAAUUCUCUAAACUUCUUUCCCACUAGUUCCAUCUCAAGGCUUAUAUUGAAGGUUGUAUCUUCCUAAUUUCCCCAGCCAAUCUCACUCCUAUCACACAGCAUCACACUUUGCUCCUUAUGCUCCUCUGCGUGCUUCUUGAUGCCUUGGCACAGUUCCUAGAUGUACUUCCGGUGAUCAAAGCCCAGGAAACGCUGAGAUAAUGCCAAUUCAAAUAUUUGACUCCGAAUUAAAGUCCACCCCAACUUUGCUGAUAUUCCUUUCACAGAGCAAAGUAGGGUGGAGUGUCACCAGAGAAAGUGAAGGACAAUGGAACAAUUUGCCAGUGGGUGGUUUUGACUUGCCAAAGUGAGGGAUGGCGGAGACUACUUACGUGGCUGGAUUGAGAACAAGUAAUUAAAGACAUCUCUGGAAUGGUCAGUGAGGUGAUACAGCAAGAAAAUGCCCAAAGGCUUGAUGAUAAUCUUCGUUGUCGUGACUGCAUAGCCCUUCUUUUGAAAGGAAACUGGAAUAAGUUAUAGGCAUGUUAUACUAUCAACUGUGAUGUGGAUCCUUCAGGAUUCAGCAGGCCCACCUGGUGAGACAUGUAGCUGAUCUCCAUGAAGAGGGAUCAUGGAGACUGAUGAUCACAAAUGAAGCUGGAGUAUUGAGAGUAACCAGAUUUGGAAGGCUUACAAAAGAGCAGCUUCCUUGGUUUGCUUCCAGAACCUCCACUUCCGGCAGGACCCAGAAACACAACAGCAGCAGCCCAUCUUGUGAUACUUUGGCUCCUCUACUCUGACCACCAGCCAGAAGAUGGGCGUGGAAAAAGAAUCAACAGCAAUAGAAACAUUUCAAAUUUUUAGAAAAUACAAAAUUGAAACUAACUAAAAAAUAUGGGGAUGAGGUGAGAGGUCAGAGGUAAAUGCUACAAAUUAUAUCACAUUUUGGCAACAAAAUCACUUAGACAUUAAGUUCCAUGAAAGCAAUAACAAUGCCUGUGGUUACUUUUCUUUUUUCGCCAAAACCUAAUAUUGGGGUUGUGCCCUUAAUAGCUGCUCAGUAAAUAUUUGUGGAAUGAAUAUAAAGAAAGACUAAAUUAUUUGUAGUCUGCUUGAAGGAUAGACUUUAGUCAACUACAGAUCAUCUUCCUGUUUAUUUUUCUUCAGGUGAAAAGCAUUACAUGCUAUGCUUCAUCAAAAUAAGAGGCUUAAAACAAUUAUUCUGAACAAGCAGCAUCACGACUGCAUGUUAUAUAUUUUCCAGAGGUGCAUAAGAAGCUAAAGCAGAGAAGAGUUUUUAAGUCAUCAAUAUUUGUACCCAUAGAGCUUGACCAGCAUUUCUGCUGCCCAUCACCUUGAGGAAGAUGCUUUCUCCAGGUUCAGCAACAUCACUGACUUUGCUUUCGGAGGUAAAAAGCUUUGAAACGUC
rnacentral:lncRNA from 1 species